rnacentral:rRNA from 1 species
CUACGGGUCGCAGCAGUGAGGAAUUUUGCGCAAUGGGGGAAACCCUGACGCAGCAACGCCGCGUGAGCGAAGAAGGCCCUCGGGUCGUAAAGCUCUGUCAAGUGGGAAAAAAAUUUUUUGAUCAAUAGUCAAAAGACUUGAUGGUACCACUGGAGGAAGCACCGGCUAACUCCGUGCCAGCAGCCGCGGUAAUACGGAGGGUGCGAGCGUUGUUCGGAUUUACUGGGCGUAAAGAGCGUGUAGGCGGUUUAGCAAGUCAGAUGUGAAAGCCCUGGGCUCAACCCGGGAAGUGCAUUUGAAACUGCUUCACUAGAGUAUGGGAGAGGAGAUUGGAAUUCCUGGUGUAGAGGUGAAAUUCGUAGAUAUCAGGAGGAACACCCGUGGCGAAGGCGAUUCUCUGGACCAAUACUGACGCUGAGACGCGAAAGCGUGGGGAGCAAACAGGAUUAGAUACCCUAGUAGUC